GAUGAACGCUGGCGGCGUGCCUAAUACAUGCAAGUCGAGCGAACGGACGAGAAGCUUGCUUCUCUGAUGUUAGCGGCGGACGGGUGAGUAACACGUGGAUAACCUACCUAUAAGACUGGGAUAACUUCGGGAAACCGUAGCUAAUACCGGAUAAUAUUUUGAACCGCAUGGUUCAAAAGUGAAAGACGGUCUUGCUGUCACUUAUAGAUGGAUCCGCGCUGCAUUAGCUAGUUGGUAAGGUAACGGCUUACCAAGGCAACGAUGCAUAGCCGACCUGAGAGGGUGAUCGGCCACACUGGAACUGAGACGCGGUCCCGACUCCUACGGGAUGCAGCAGUAGGGAAUCUUCCGCAAUGGGCGAAAGCCUGACGGAGCAACGCCGCGUGAGUGAUGAAGGUCUUCGGAUCGUAAAACUCUGUUAUUAGGGAAGAACAUAUGUGUAAGUAACUGUGCACAUCUUGACGGUACCUAAUCAGAAAGCCACGGCUAACUACGUG
rnacentral:rRNA from 1 species